rnacentral:tRNA from 1 species
UGGAUCACCUCCUAACAGGGAGACAAACUGAUCGUGAUGUCUGACUCAUUUUGUAGUCAGGCCAUGGUCCUGUCAUCUCGAAGGUCGAUCGGUACCUCAGCUGACGCUUCAAGGAGAGGUUGGAUGUUCAGCGAUGAAUGUCUGACGUUUGCUUUGAAGGGUCUUUUCAGUUCCUAAACUUUGUCUAGGUCACCCCGCAAGGGAAUCCCUGGGCCAUUAGCUCAGGUGGUUAGAGCGCACCCCUGAUAAGGGUGAGGUCCCUGGUUCAAGUCCAGGAUGGCCCAUUCGUGUUUGGGGGUUUAGCUCAGUUGGUAGAGCGCCUGCUUUGCAAGCAGGAUGUCAGCGGUUCGAGUCCGCUAACCUCCACUGACCAAGCCUCCAGUCGCGCGAGCAACGGGAGAGAGCUCUUGUGUGGUGAGACUAGACGAUUGUACUGACAUUGGAUCUUGACUGUGCCUUGAUGGUGCAUUCAACGAUGCCAAAAGGAAUCCAGCUUCCUUUCAUUCUGAACCGUGAGAUUGAACGCAACCGCUGAGCGGUUGAAGAAUGCCUGACGGAACGGUUGAAAAGGCGCUGGACUUCAGUAUGGAUGAUCGAAAGAUGAUCCAGGCUUGAUGUUCAGUAGAACCUUGACAACUGCAUAGGUGAGUCUGGAAAGAAAGCACCUCAUGGAUGCUCAAGUCCGGAAGGGCUUGAGAGAUCCUUGAGCGAGAGCCGAGACUCUACAUCAUUCCUGGAGCGUCGCCGAGACGCAUCGGGUCUGAUUUUGGCUUUCAAACCAACCAUGACCAACUUGAAAUGAUGAAUGUCAGCUCAAGUUGAGAGUGGAGAGGUGAAACCAGAAGAAUCUGCUUACAACAGCAGCAAUGUGGUGUGGAGGUAAAUUGGUCAAGCUACAAAGGGCUCACGGUGGAUACCUUGGCACACAGAGGCGAUGAAGG